UACGAAGGGGGCUAGCGUUGCUCGGAAUCACUGGGCGUAAAGGGUGCGUAGGCGGGUCUUUAAGUCAGGGGUGAAAUCCUGGAGCUCAACUCCAGAACUGCCUUUGAUACUGAAGAUCUUGAGUUCGGGAGAGGUGAGUGGAACUGCGAGUGUAGAGGUGAAAUUCGUAGAUAUUCGCAAGACACCAGUGGCGAAGGCGGCUCACUGGCCCGAUACUGACGCUGAGGCACGAAAGCG
rnacentral:rRNA from 1 species